CACUGUGGUGUGUCUGUGGGCCUGGCCGUGGGUGCAGGCAGCAGCUGCAGGCGGCGUCCAGCAGGCACACGGCCCCUCUCCAGGCCUGUGGGCAGGGCACUCACCCGCAGAGUGCCGGCACCUUCUUCUUCCUCUUCAUUAAUCCUAUGCUACUCACUCUUCAUUCAUUCUUCUCCAGACCUCUGAGGCCCAGCAUGCUUUCCUUCCUCCCUCUCUGGUCUUCCUUCUUCUGUAUUCUUCAGUUAUUUUUCUCUGGGUGUUUCCGUCAAGAGUGUUCCACGUGGCACACUGCUGUACUGCCUGUGCCUUUAUCUCCCCUCAGCCCCAGCACAGUGCUCAGCCUUCCCUGCUGGAGCCACUUGCCCAUCCAUCACCCAGCCACUGGCCAACAAUACAAGGCUUGACAAGCACCACUGGAGUGUUCCUGCCUUGACCCAUUACAUAUUCUGCCUUCAAUUCCCUCGGGGCAGCAACCCUAACAAGCCAUCACAGCUCCCAGGCCGGCACUCUGCACCAGUGGUCUCUGCUGGGCCGGGUUUAACAAGUCCAUUGCAGCUCCCAGGCCGGCACUCUGCACCAGUGGUCUCUGCUGGGCCGGGUUUAACAAGUCCAUCACAGCUCCCAGGCCGGCACUCUGCCCCAGUGGUCUCUGCUGGGCCGGGUUUAACAAGUCCAUCACAGCUCCCAGGCCGGCACUCUGCACCAGUGGUCUCUGCUGGGCCGGGUUUAACAAGUCCAUCACAGCUCCCAGGCCGGCACUCUGCACCAGUGGUCUCUGCUGGGCCGGGUUUAACAAUCCAUCACAGCUCCCAGGCCGGCACUCUGCCCCAGUGGUCUCUGCUGGGCCGGGUUUAACAAGUCCAUCACAGCUCCCAGGCCGGCACUCUGCACCAGUGGUCUCUGCUGGGUCGGGUUUAACAAGUCCAUUGCAGCUCCCAGGCCAGCACUCUGCCCCAGUGGUCUCUGCUGGGCCGGGUUUAACAAGCCAUCACAGCUCCCAGGCCGGCACUCUGCCCCAGUGGUCUCUGCUGGGUCGGGUUUAACAAGUCCAUUGCAGCUCCCAGGCCGGCACUCUGCCCCAGUGGUCUCUGCUGGGCUGGGUUUAACAAGCCAUCACAGCUCCCAGGCUGGCACUCUGCCCCAGUGGUCUCUGCUGGGCCGGGUUUCUUGUGGAGCGCAGGGAAACUUGACAAACCCUCACACAGCGUCCCCUUGGUAAUCCUGCUGAUAGUCUGUUGUGGCGGCCUGAGUCACCGCUGCUGCACUGUGCCGGGGCAAGGUGGCUCGGGGCAGACGGCACUGUUCACUGUGGUGUUGGCUGCUGCACUGUGCCAGGGCAAGGUGGCUCGGGGCAGAUGGCACUGUUCACUGUGGUGUUGGCUGCUGCACUGUGCCAGGGCAAGGUGGCUCGGGGCAGACGGCACUGUUCACUGUGGUGUUGGCUGCUGCACUGUGCCAGGGCAAGGUGGCUCGGGGCAGACGGCACUGUUCACUGUGGUGUUGGCUGCUGCACUGUGCCGGGGCAAGGUGGCUCGGGGCAGACGGCACUGUUCACUGUGGUGUUGGCUGCUGCACUGUGCCGGGGCAAGGUGGCUCGGGGCAGACAGCACUGUUCACUGUGGUGUCGGUGCAUCCCUCAGCAGUCAGCCACAACACGGUGCCAGUCCUCCCCAGGUGGUGUUGAUGACUGGCUCCCCAUCACACACACACAGCAGCACAACACACCACCUCAGAAGUGGGUCUUCAUGUGCCCGGCAAUGUCCGCCUUCGUGUUAAAGUGCUUCCCACACACUUGAACUCUCUCAGGCCAGAGUGUCUGAACAUGUGACGCUCCAGGGUUUGCUUCUCUCUGAACCUUUCUCCACAUUCCAGACACUCAUGAGGCCUCUCACCGGUGUGUGUAAGGGUGUGUGUGUGUUGAGGCCACCCUUCUGUGUAAACCUUUGGCCACAAACUUCACAUUCAUGAGGCCUUUCACCAGUGUGUGUAAGGGCAUGUGUGUUGAGGCAACCCUUCUGUGUAAACCUUUUGCCACACUCUUGGCAUUCAUGGGGUCCUUCACCAGUGUGUGUAAGGGUGUGUGUGUUUAGGUCACUGUCUUUCUUUCACUAGUCUUUUCAUUCCUUUCUUUCUUUUGUGUUCUUGUUGUUUCUCCAAGUCUGUCUUUCUCUCUUCGUCUUCUCUUUCGUCUUGUUCUUCAGCCAGGGCGGGGUUGCCAAACACGUCCUCCACCGCCACCACAUACAGCAGCACCACACAACACCUCAGGGGAAGUGGAUCUUCAUGUGCCUGGCAAUAUUCUGCUUGGUCUUGAAAUGUUUUAGACAAACAUCACACUUGAACUCUCUCAGAUCAGUGUGUGUGACAACGUGGCUGUUCAAUGCAGACUUAGAAAAGAACCUUCUGUCACACUCAAGGCAUUCAUGAGGUCUUUCCCCAGUGUGUGUAAGGGUGUGUGUGUUAAGGUGACUCUUCUGACUGAACACUUUGCCACACUCUUGGCAUUCAUGAGGUCUUUCACCAGUGUGUGUAAGGGUGUGUGUGUUAAGGUCACUCUUCCUACUGAACACUUUGCCACACUCUUGGCAUUCAUGAGGUCUUUCACCAGUGUGUGUAAGGGUGUGAGUGUUAAGGUUACUCUUCCUACUGAACACUUUGCCACACUCUUGGCAUUCAUGAGGUCUUUCACCAGUGUGUGUAAGGGUGUGAGUGUUAAGGUUACUCUUCCUACUGAACACUUUGCCACACUCUUGGCAUUCAUGAAGUCUUUCACCAGUGUGUGUAAGGGUGUGAGUGUUAAGGUUACUCUUCCUACUGAACACUUUGCCACACUCUUGGCAUUCAUGAGGUCUUUCACCAGUGUGUGUAAGGGUGUGAGUGUUAAGGUUACUCUUCUGAGUGAACACUUUGCCACACUCUUGGCAUUCAUGAGGUCUUUCACCAGUGUGUGUAAGGGUGUGUGUGUUAAGGUGACUCUUCUGACCAAACACUUUGCCACACUCUUGGCAUUCAUGAGGUCUUUCACCAGUGUGUGUAAGGGUGUGUGUGUUAAGGUUACUCUUCUGAGUGAACACUUUGCCACACUCUUGGCAUUCAUGAGGUCUUUCACCAGUGUGUGUAAGGGUGUGUGUGUUAAGGUUACUCUUCUGAGUGAACACUUUGCCACACUCUUGGCAUUCAUGAGGUCUUCCACCAGAGUAUGUGGGUGUGUUUGUUGAGGUCACCCUUCCCAGGGAGUCUUUUCCCACACUCUUGGCACUCAUGCUUCCC